GAUGAACGCUGGCGGCGUGGAUAAGGCAUGCAAGUCAAGGGGGCCCGCAAGGGCAACCGGCAGACGAGGUAGUAAUAAUUAGGUACGUACCCAAGGGUCGGGCAUAGCUAUUCGAAAGGAUAGGUAAUUCCCGAUAGUCUCGAAAGAGUAAAGUUUUUCGCCCUUGGAGCGGCCUGAUCGGUAUCAGCUAGUUGGUGAGGUAAAAGCUCACCAAGGCUAUGACGCCUAGGGGACCUGAGAGGGUGACCCCCACCGAUGGGACUGAGACACGGCCCAUACACCUACGGGUGGCUGCAGUCGAGAAUCUUCCGCAAUGGACGAAAGUCUGACGGAGCGACGCCGCGUGGAGGAUGAAGUGCUUCGGUAUGUAAACUCCUUUUGCCAGGGAAAAGUUAUUGAUUGUACCUGGAGAAUAAGAGGUUGCUAAACUCGUG
rnacentral:rRNA from 1 species